UACGGGGGGGGCAAGCGUUGUUCGGAAUUACUGGGCGUAAAGGGCUCGUAGGUGGCCAACUAAGUCAGACGUGAAAUCCCUCGGCUUAACCGGGGAACUGCGUCUGAUACUGGAUGGCUUGAGUUUGGGAGAGGGACGCGGAAUUCCAGGUGUAGCGGUGAAAUGCGUAGAUAUCUGGAGGAACACCGGCGGCGAAGGCGGCGUCCUGGACCAACACUGACACUGAUGAGCGAAAGCCAGGGGAGCAAAGCGGG
rnacentral:rRNA from 1 species